rnacentral:rRNA from 1 species
GUGCCAGCCGCCGCGGUAACACGUAGGCACCAAGCGUUGUCCGGAUUUAUUGGGCGUAAAGAGCUCGUAGGCGGUUCAGUAAGUCGGGUGUGAAAACUCUGGGCUUAACCCAGAGCCGCCAUCCGAUACUGCUGAACUUGAGUACGGUAGGGGAGUGGGGAAUUCCUGGUGUAGCGGUGAAAUGCGCAGAUAUCAGGAGGAACACCGGUGGCGAAGGCGCCACUCUGGGCCGAAACUGACGCUGAGGAGCGAAAGCGUGGGUAGCAAACAGGAUUAGAUACCCCAGUAGUCC